rnacentral:lncRNA from 1 species
CUAGCCGAGUGUGGCAGCGAGGGGUAUAAACCUGUGUGUUGUGUUAAGCUUUUUGCUUUAAUCCCAUGGCCAUGAUGUCUCCUUCUGUCAUCCUCACGACUGUGCUGAAUGAUGCAGGGCCUAAAAUGUGACUGUGCCCCCUUGCACAUCUAUUUUUUUUCAGCAUAAAGCAACCGAAGCAACAAGAAGACUGCUGGAGCCCACCAGAGCUGACUUUUAUGGGGUGAAAAUUUAUGGCACAGCAUGAGAAACCAGGUGCGCGUGCUUUUAUGGUGGAAUUUCAUGGCAACGUGUAUCCUGGUCAGUGUGCCCGAUCUUCAUUCCACAAAACAAGAAAGGAGAAAAGAAGUGAGUAUUAAAAUGGCAGCCGCAGAUGGGAGUCAGAUUCAAUGCAAUAGAAAGCAGAUUAGAUUAAGCAAACUGUUGAAAAUUUAUUCUUCUGGUUAAUUUUAUCUGUAAAAUUGUCCUAAAGACUAAUAUUGUCAAUUCUCAUUUGGCUCUGUAGGACCCUGCAUGAAUCCAAAUCCAUCCUUUUUUGGCAGGCCUUUUUAUCACCAGCGGUACAGUGACAUCUAAGUGUCAGGAAGAUGGGCCAGUCGGAGCAUAGAAAAUUGAUUUGAGCAGCACCAUCCCCCCUUGGCUGGCUGCAGAUAAACAGUUCAGCUAAUGCGCUGCUCCCGACCUCGUCGGGGCUGCAUUUGAAUAUGAUCUAACACGGCAGCUGCUUCGCUGGCGAUGGUGAGGGUAAAACAGUCCCUGAGAAGUUUUGUUUUGCCCUGGCACUAAAGGUGGGGCAGAAGUUUUAAAAAAGAAAAAGAAGAAGCAGGUGUAACUACGAGGCUGAUGUGCCUUUUGCUGCUUAGUGAUUUAUUUAUUUAUUUUUUUAGCAUUGAAAAUAAGGAAAUUAGUUUACAUUAGGCAUACGGGUGCACAAUUAAGCUGUCUCUCCCAGAGCUAGCUCUCCAAAACACCUGAAUAAUCGACGUGCCAGAGAUAUUUCAGA